UAUCCUUUUCAUCUAUUUGCAGUCGUGACCCAUAGACACCGCCAGUUAUCUUCUCUGGCAAUGCUCUGCCUGGCCUGUACUGCAGCCAUCUUCAGCUUCUACUUGCUUUGGGGGCUAGUUGCCUUAAGCUUUCUCUAUGUAUGUAUAAGAAGUGCUGUAAUCUCUACAUGGUGAAACCAUAAAAAUACCCUUUCAUAAAAUAUGUCAAAGUGCACUUUAACCACAUGAGAAUUGUUUGAUUACAAAUCGAAAACUGGAGAAACAUAUAGAUGUAUUUGUCCCAAACAUUAUUGAGCUCACUGUAUUUAAGCAGACAUUAUGUACUGGGAUGAUAGGGGUGAUAUUUGUUUAUAGUACCAAUGUUAUCCCCUUUUUCUGUGCAUUGUGUUCAUUAUAUGUGUAAUAUGUAUUUUAUGAAUGAAAUGUUAAGGUUACGGUGAAGCAUAGUUAACAUUGGUGCUAGGCAUGUCUUUAACAUAGUUGCUAGGCAAUGGUUCUAUUUGCUAGGUAGCAUAACUUUUCGCCAAUGCUGUCAGCCUGGGCCUGUUCCUUGGAGGCAUGUCAUUGUCAGUUGUCCUGUCCACACAACGCUGAACGCAGAGCGAAAGAAGCUGUGGUCCAGUAACUGUUUAAAUUAAAAAAGGGCUGUUACUCCUCCAGUCUAUUGCGAAGGCGUACACGGCGAAGUAUCCGCCGAGGAUGUAACCGAUUCUGUUUCGCAAGUUCAGAACUGUCACGCCACUGAAGGAAUGAAUAGGUGUGUCUAAAUUUGGAUGGCAUUCAGAUCUCGAGCUCCAGGAUUGUUUGUAGUCUGGUUCACUGGCAAAGAACCGGCUUCUGCGGCAGAGAAAUCUGGCGCGCGUUCAAAAUGUCUCUUUCGGCUGGGUUUCUGUGCAGGAACGACUGACGCUAGGAACAGGGAAACCCGUCAAAAGGCACUGACAGCACGGAGGGAGUUCCACCCUUCCCAGAGCAUCAUUAAUAUGGCUUCUGCUUUCUCUGGUUCCUGCUUCCUUUCCAGUCAUGAUUAAAAGCCUAUGGUCAGCUCUCCGGCGGCGCAUCCAGGUAAAGCUCUGCUCCUCAGUGCAGUCACACUCCCCACUCUGUUCUAACUGUGCCACAGCGCCCUCUCUGGUCACACGAGGUACACUCAACAUCUCAGCUGGUGGACUGCAGAGUGGACGAGAUUCAGCAGCUGGCAGUUGCAGCCCCGCACUUCUGAAGAUUGAAAGGACUGAGGACACCGUUUCCUUCUGAUUCUGUGUGGGCUUGACUUGUGAACUGCGGUGAGAUAAGAAGUGGCAGCCGAUGUUGCGGGCUCCGAAGGAGAGUACGUGCUCGUCUGCCUUCUCCUGAAAUGACAGCAGAGGCUACGAUGAGGUUAGCCGCACGAUCGCGGUUGGACAUUCCGAAAAAGAGAGGGAAAAAAACGGUGAAAACAUCAGAAGAAGGUAUCGCCGCUAAACUCGGUUUAAUUUUUAACCACAUCAAUUUGUGGGCACUCAAGAUCACAAACCCUUAAACCAACAGCCUCUGACCCACAGUCGAUGACAAUUCCCUCAUCCAAGUCAUCUGCUACACAAGAUACAUUGCAAAUGGACUAAAAUACACUCAAGUGCCCACAGUAGGCUGCAAUCUUAUGGGAACAGGGGAGGUAAAAAAAAAAAAAAGAAA